CAAAGUUGUACUCAUAUUAUUUCAAUAAUAAAAUGUAAAAUUUAUAAAUUAAAUGUGUAUAACGAAGACAUAAAUGCCUAUUUAAUAAAAUCUAAAGGUUCAUAGUUAUUGAUUACAUCAUAACCGGUAAGAUAUCGUUUAGCUGGUGGUAUGAUGAUUUCAGAUGUGGAUGGUUGGUAAUAUUGAUAGCCAUAAGGAAUAGGCUUGAAUGGAAUAUAAGAAUUAACAUAUACUUGUCCAAAAACCGUCAAAAUUACAGACAGUAGCCAUAAUAUAUUUUGGCAGCAAAUAUGACAUUCUCACAAUAUAUUAAGAAUUUAUAAGUUUUAAGUAAUUGAAUAUAUAGACUAGAGAUGAAGCGCAAACAAUGA